rnacentral:rRNA from 1 species
UACGUAGGGUCCGAGCGUUGUCCGGAAUUACUGGGCGUAAAGAGCUCGUAGGUGGUUUUGUCGCGUUGUUCGUGAAAAACUCACAGCUCAACUGUGGGCGUGCGGGCGAUACGGGGCAGACUAGAGUACUGCAGGGGGAGACUGGAAUUCCUGGUGUAGCGGUGGAAUGCGCAGAUAUCAGGAGGAACACCGGUGGCGAAGGCGGUUAGCUGGGGCAGUUGCUGACACUGAGGCGCGACAGCGUGGGGGGAGCAAAACAGG